rnacentral:sRNA from 1 species
CACACACACACACACACACACACACACACACACGGACAUGCACACACAGUUUUUAAAAAUAUCCUAAAACAAGGUCAGUGUAUAGUAUAAUAACCUUUAUGAUUCAGUGCCCAAGACAUGAAAAUUAAUCAAAAUCACUCUUGUAAUGUCAAGGCAAGAGAUGACAAAAUAGCAAAAAGAGAAAAAAAAGGAUUCUUCUUGGAGUACAAAACAUGAGCUUAGAUUGAAAUUUUAUUGUAUAAAACUAUGAGAAGAAGAUUAAACUAUUUGGCUUGUGAUAGAACAGUGAGGGAGAAAGGAAAUGUUAGCAUGCCCAAGUUGUUUCCAUUUGGAAAAAUCCACCAGAAUAGAGAGCCCUGUGAUGCCGACUAUCUUGCCUUCUCUAAUCUCUUGCCUUCUUCUCACAGUCUCUGGAGUUUUAUGGCAUCUUUGGCUAAGGGGCCUGUAGCUUCCAAGUGGGCAGGACCUGUCCUUGUUAUGAGGAGAUACAGAAGUGAUAUUGCAAUCAUUUCUUAUUGCCUGAACACAGGAAUUAUACAACCUCACCAGGGCUCUGCCAGCUCUUAAGAACUCUCUUCCCUCUAAAGCACAUGGAGUUUCCUGUGACGGAGACACUGUGAUAUUUAAGUAAUGACUUAAACUGCUGUUAGUGUAACAAACAAGGUUACAACAAACGUGGUGAUAGCCACCCAUAAGGGCACGCGUGGCAGGACCUCUUCUCACAAAAUACUCCUGUUGCAGUUAGCAGGAAAACCCCAGCUCUUUCUAUUACAAAAGCCAGUAUGUUUGACCAGAAACAGGAUGUGAGAGCUACAGUGAGCAAAGUAGAAAAAGGACUAAAAUAGAAAUUAGGACCUUAAGGCUGGAGGCAUAAACUCAGGAUCACCACAGGAGGGUUGGCUGUAGCCUGAGAGCUGAGUCAGGAAAGGGAGGAGAGGAGUUUACAUAGGCACAAAGGCCAUGGCUGGAGAGACAGUGGAAGAGAACACAGUGACUCAUAAACUGUGACCUCUCCAAGCCCCACUUAACUGGACUUUGGAUGAUGACAAAUGAUGACUUUGUCAUUGUGACAACUGCUCUGUUCUUUCACAAAGGCUGCAUUCCAUUAAUGUACCAAACAUUUGUCAAGAAGCUGGUAAUGGUACGCCUGCCCUGCAGUCCACAUUCUGCUCAUGGAGAGAGAUGUAGGCAAACUCCAUCAGAAAUGACAUGAUUAGGCUCCAAACACAUUUGCUAUAAGAAGUGUUAUUCUUUGGACUUUGGAACCUGCCCUAAACUCCAGCAGAACACUCUAUAAAAGCAGCUUCUGGUCUGGAGAGCAUCAGGUGCUUAACUCUGCUACUUGGUUGGGAACUGAAGCCAUGGCUUUCAAUGCAUAGGCUGCAUGGAAGGAAGCACCACCCAGAGCCCCACAAGGUGCCAGACUUGAACCUAGAACUGGCCUGGGACUGGGUAAUGGAUAAUUUUGAGGCCCUGAGCCAUCACUCCUGCCAGCACCCCUGGUGCUGUGGACCUGGGAAACCCAGCACAGCCUCACUGAUGGAUGAAGCUGCAUUUGGGGGUGAGAGGGGACAGAAACGCUGCAGAGAGCCACAUGCUGAGGAGCCAAUGGAUGAAACUGCAGAGCGACUUUGGGGUCAUCAAGAUGUAGGAGCCACUUCCAGGAGAAAGGUUCAAUGGACUUUGGACCAGCUGAAAGGUGACUACACCCACAGCAGUGGAGAGAUGCUUGCCCCACAUGAAUCCUGGAGCCAAGGGGGCUCCCAGAAACGACUCAAAACUGAGACUGGCAUGAGAGAGGAAUCAGGAAAGGAAAGACACCCAAGCAUUGUGGACAGCAUACGCCUUGAGAUCCUUCAAUAUAUUUGGGAGGCUCCAGAAAAACAUGGACCAAGAGCUUCAUGCUGCCUCUGAGGGCUUAAAGACUGUGCCCUAUAUGCCCUGGAGCUUUGAAGUCUCUUUAUUUUGUCCUCUUGACUGUUCAGUUGAUGUGUUAUGGAUAUUUUCUUAAAUCCAUGUAGAAUCAUUACAUUCUGAUGGAAACUGUACAUAAUUAAAAUCUUUCCUCCCCA